AUCCUUUUUCUGGUUCAGCACGGACUUCAUUAUCUGGCUCUAGUCCCAAAUUAGUGGUGAUCUUAAGCGCUGAAUAAUGUCAUCUUGAGUGAAAUGAGAUAGAAACAAGGAAGGAAAAGAAAUGACAUCACCUCCUAACAAAGUUGGAUGGGGGAUUUAAAGUGCUCCUGACACCGCAUCACUGACCCUUUGAUUGGAGGAUAAGUCUCGGC